rnacentral:rRNA from 1 species
AUUGAACGCUGGCGGCAGGCCUAACACAUGCAAGUCGAACGAGUGGCGGACGGGUGAGUAAUGUCUGGGAAACUGCCUGAUGGAGGGGGAUAACUACUGGAAACGGUAGCUAAUACCGCAUACCAUCAGAUGUGCCCAGAUGGGAUUAGCUUGUUGGUUGGGUAACGGCGCACAAGGGCGACGAUCCCUAUCUGGUCUGAGAGGAUGACCAGCGACACGAGAACUGAGACACGGUCCAUACUCCUACGGGAGGCAGCAGUGGGGAAUAUUGCACACUAGGCGCAAGUCUGAUGCAGCCAGGCCGCGUGUAUGAAGAAGGCCUUGGGGUUGUAAAGUACUUUCAGCGGGGAGGCGUUACCCGCAGAAGAAGCACCGGCUAACUCCGUGCCAGCAGCCGCGGUAAUUC